AUAAAGGGCCCAAAUCCUUGAUAUGAAAAGAUUCUUUAAGUCAAACUUGAAGAUGAUAUAUCAAUCCAGAGUCAGUUUCCAUAAUAACUAUAUCAUCUACGUAGAUAAGCAGAAGUACCAUAUCCACCUCGGUGUUGGAAAUAAAGAGAGAUGAGUUAUAUUGACUUUAAGUAAUCGAGAAACUAAGAAGAAUGGAACAAACCUUGUCAAACCAAGCAUGGGAAACCUGUUUUAACUCAUAAAAUUAGCGUUUUAGUUUACAAACAUCGAAAGAGGGCAAAAAGAAUAGACUCAGAGGUAGCGUCAUAUAAAUCUCUUCUUUAGAAUGCAUUCUUAACAUCCAUAUGCCGUAAAGACCAUCCCUUGGAGCAACUAUGCAAGAACGAUGCGAACUAUAGUCAUUUUGGCCACAGUGGCAAAGUCUCCUCAUAAUCUACUCCAUAUUCUUGAUAAUUACUAAGAGUGACUAAUUGAGCUUUAUAGCGAUCUAGUGAUCCAUUAGAUGGAACUUAAUAGAGUAUACUCAUUUACAUCCAAUAGGUUUGAUGCCAGAAGGACGAGGAACAAUAUUCCAUGUGUGAUUCUCUUGAAGGGCUUGAAGUUCCUCUUGCAUAGCUUUUUCCUAACUGGGUUGGAUAACAGUCUAAGAAUAAGAAGUAGGAACUAUGAAAUAAGAUAGGGUUGCAGAGAAACCAUAAAUGAGAUAAGGUUGCAGAGAAAUCAUACCGAUCAGGAGGAUGAGUAAUGCGGAUGGAUCGUCGAAGAGUAUCAGAGUCUAGAAUAAGAUUGGGAUCGGGGUCGAGAAUGGGAAGGGACAGUGAACCUAGGUGUCGUUCAUCUUUGAUAUAUCAUACUUGGUUUGAAACGCUCGGUAGGACGAGAGUAAUCCUCAAAGCUAAUGAAUUGAGCCAAAUCAGAAGAUAAUAAAUGUUGUGGAAAGUAAUGUUGAUUCUCAAAGAAAAUCACAUUGCGAGAGAUACGAAACCGAUUAGCAACACCAUCAUAAUAAACAAGACAUUUCUGAGUAAUACUAUAACCCAAGAACGCACACCGUACUGAUUGAAUAGUAAACUUAUGACGUUCAUAGGCA
rnacentral:lncRNA from 1 species